rnacentral:rRNA from 1 species
UACGUAGGGGGCUAGCGUUGUCCGGAUUUAUUGGGCGUAAAGAGCGUGUAGGCGGCCAGGUAGGUCUGGUGUGAAAACUCGAGGCUUAACCUCGAGAUGUCAUCGGAAACCAUUUGGCUAGAGUCCGGUAGGGGAGCAUGGAAUUCCUGGUGUAGCGGUGAAAUGCGCAGAUAUCAGGAGGAACACCGGUGGCGAAGGCGGAUCUCUGGGCCUUACCUGACGCUCAGGCGCGAAAGCUAGGGGAGCGAACUGG